UGACUAAGAAGUAGUACCCAAGGUACCAUUUUCUGGGAGAUGUUGAUACAGGAAAUUUUAUCUUAAGGUAUAUGUAUAAAGACAGGUUAUUUUCACUUUAAGACAAAAUAAAUAGCUAACAUUUAGAGAGCUCAAACUGUUUUUGAAACACUCUUCUCUGUAUUAUUUUAUUUAAUAUUUGCAUCUCUACAAGAUGCUACUGUUAUCAUCAAACUCUCUUACAGAAAAAGAGACAAGUGUCACUGUACUACCUACGCCUACUCUGCUUAACAAAGGAGCCUUCCUAUAACCACAGCACCAAAAGAUAUGUCUCCAGAGAAGCUUCAAUCCUCAAAUUAUGCUUAAGUUAGAAUGCCAUUUUGAAGCUAAAAUAUAAAGAUGACUCAUUACCUGAAUCUGGUACUGGAGACCCUGCAGCAAGUAAUGGACAUCCCAGUUCAUGCCCCAUCGCAUGGGGUGUGGUUAUGAGGAACAUGAGGGAGACCCGAAGAACUAGAUCCAGCUUUGUGAACACCAGAUCUGGCAGAUUUAAGCUGAGGCCUGUAAGUUCAUUUGCCAUUUUCUUCCACCACAAGUGGCCCCUGCUGGGCUGAUCUGUUCUUCCACUUGUUCCUCUGGCACCUGCCCAUGUGGAGGGGAUUCUUCAAUAGGGCACAUCUGUUGUAGCCUCACAGAUUCUUCUGCUGUUGGAGAGCCCUGUGUGUGGAAGAGUCCCUUUGUGUGAAAAUCAUCCAGCCUCAACCACACAGUUCAGCAAUUUUGCUGAAAGGAACAGUCUUGGCUGCACUUGGUAGGAGCCUCUCUUCUGUCUGGCACAGGGAGAGAAAGAUGGCAACAUCCUGCCAAG
rnacentral:lncRNA from 10 species